rnacentral:rRNA from 1 species
GCUUUCAGCCAUCCUACCAUAUGCUCUGAUCCCAUCACAUCUCACAAGCUAUGUAGCUUUGGGCCAGGACCAUUCUUGGAUGGGAAAUCUCUUAAGAAUCACCCAGCUGCCAUAAGAA